rnacentral:misc_RNA from 1 species
UCUCCGUUGGUGAACCAGCGGAGGGAUCAUUACUGGAAUCGCAAGAUCCCACAACCCUGUGAACCUACCGAAACGUUGCCUCGGCGGGUGCCCGGCCCCCGCGCCGGGCGCUGCGCCCGCCGGCGGCCCCCUACUCUGUCUCUGCAGCGUGGCAUUUCAGAGUCCCAGAAAACAAGUCAAAACUUUCAACAACGGAUCUCUUGGCUCUA